rnacentral:rRNA from 1 species
CUUCUGCCACCGAAUACAUUAGCAUGGGAUAAUGGAAUAGGACCCUGUCCUCCUAUUUUGCGUGUUGGUUUUCGAGGACCGGGUAAUGAUUAAUAGGGAUAGUUGGGGGCAUUAAUAUUUAAUUGUCAGAGGUGAAAUUCUUGGAUUUAUGAAAGAUUGACUUCUGCGAAAGCAUCUGCCAAGGAUGUUUUCAUUAAUCAAGAACGAAAGUUAGGGGAUCGAAGACGAUCAGAUACCGUCGUAGUCUUAACCAUAAACGAUGCCGACCAGCGAUUAGGAGACGUUGAAUACAAAACACCACCGUCGGGUCGGCCGUCCUUGGCCGUCGUGCGCGGCGACGCGCGCGGCGGCGAGGGCGGUGUCUGCCCGACGGCCCGGUGAAUGACUCCCCUAGCAGCUUGUGAGAA